CUUCCGAUCUAGCUUCCUGCUAAUACACUUGGAAAAGCAGAUGGCACAAGUGCUUGGGUCCCUGCCACCCAAAUGGGAAACACAGAUGGAGUUCCAGGCUCCUGGCUUGGCCUGGCUCAGCCUUGGCUGAUGCAGCUAUUUGGGGAGUGAACCAGUGGAUGGAAGUCUGCUCUCUCUAGAAUAUCCCUUACAGUACUAUCUGUUAGCUGCCUAGCCAUGCCUUUACGGUCAGCACCAUCCACUUGUACCUGCUGAGGUUGUGGACAAGAAGAUGCCCCCGUCGCUGUAGGUGGAGAGGCGAUGGUCUACACCUUCUGAAUGCUCAGACUUCUCUUCACCCCCACUGAUGCUCAGUGCACUGGCAGAUCGCGACUGUUCCCGGCUCCGGCGCUGAGCUUGGACUGCGAGAGAUGAUUAAAAGAGGCCAGCCACCCAAGGCAAAGAAUUUCUGACUCACGGUUGAGAUGUGCCGUUGGGUUUCCCUCACCCGUCUCAUCUCCGGAGUAUCCAACACGUAGGCUGCUUUACCUUGUAUUUGUUUCCGGAAGCUAUCAGAAUAAAGAACCUAUCGAAGAGAGACCAGGAAUGAGUAAAGAUCUUGGUGCUGUCCUAAUUCUGAAGCCUCAAAGACUCUAGCAGAUGGAGAUGAAAGGAGUUGAUGAGGAAGAGCUCACCAGCUGAGUCAGCUGGCGACCAACAGUGGGACAGGCUAGGAUGAGGAUGGGUGGGACUGGCUUCAGCAGAGAAAGGAUUUGUUUGGCUUUGAAAAUGAAAACUUCAUUUUCAAAGGAGAGAGGGGCACAGUAUAAUUUUAAAGGGAAAAGGAAGAAAGUGGCCUCUUGAAUAUGCUUGGAAUUGUAAUACCAGCAGCAGCAUAUCUGAUGGUAUUUGGCACCAAAUCUGAUACUAAGGAAAUGGAAAGAACUAUCCUUUAAAAGAAAUGAUAAUUUUGCUUAGGCUAUGUCCAGGUUGUGUAAUCCAACAUACUAAUACAGAAAUCAAAGUUCUCCAGGCACUAAAAACUCAAAAUACCAAAGCCAAAAAAGGCAUCCAUUUCAGAGUGUUACCUGUUUCACAGAAUACCCUAAAAAUAAAGGAAAGCAGAAGAUUGAGAAUGUUAGGAAAUCAGUUUGUUAUAAUUGGUUAUAGAAAACUACCUCAGAGUAUGGUGAAAGGGGAAAGAAAACACUGGGAAUUAAAUUGUUAUGUUUAGUAUGAUCACUUGGA